rnacentral:lncRNA from 1 species
ACUGAGUAUUUAUAUACUCAGUCCCCAAUUUGGUGUUUUUGAUUGCAGGGCAGGUAUUGUAUAGAGAAGAGCAGGGUUAGAGAUUGCCUGCUAGCUGUGUCGCUCCAUAGUAUAGUAUAGUAUAAUGUAGAUAGAGGUUUAUACCCUUUUGGUGUAUUAUAAACCUUCUGUUGUAUAUAGUAUAUAGUUACAGUCAUAGAUCCUGUUGUGGAUAUGGGUUUGACCAUGGAUGGAAUGGAAACCAGAUUUUUAUACAUAUGAGUUAUAUGCCUGAGAUAAUGUAUUGAUAUAUAUUAUCCAGGUUCAUUAUGUGACGGAUUAUGUGAUUGCUGCUCUGACAGGUAGUGUGUUGUAUGUAUUGAGAUAAUCCUGACAGGUCACUAUAGGAAAAGUGAUCAUUUUGUGCAUGCAUCAUGCCAAAUUUUUUCAGAAUUUAAUAAUGAUUGAUAGGUAAUAGGGUUCUACGUGGUGGCUGGUGGCCUUAUGCCUACCCGCACCCUAGGACCGUCGCGACGGCCCACCGGGAACGGGGCGAGGGUCGUGACAAAGCUUGGUAUCAGAGCAAAGGUUAAGAAGAGUCCUGUCAGAGCAAUAGGAUGAGUCAGGAUUAAGUAUAGGAUUAUACUAUGGAGCAUAGGGUUUUUCUGUAUGUUAUUUUAUGAGUUAUUUACAACUCAGUAAAAUAUAUCAUGACUCAGUGUGUAACGACUGUCCUCUCUUUUUGACUCUUUUA